rnacentral:rRNA from 1 species
CACGAACGCUGGCGGCAGGCUUAACACAUGCAAGUCGAACGCCCCGCAAGGGGAGUGGCAGACGGGUGAGUAACGCGUGGGAACAUACCCUUUCCUGCGGAAUAGCUCUGGGAAACUGGAAUUAAUACCGCAUCAGCCCUACGGGGGAAAGAUUUAUCGGGGAAGGAUUGGCCCGCGUUGGAUUAGCUAGUUGGGAGGGUAAAGGCCUACCAAGGCGACGCUCCAUGGCUGGUCUGGGAGGCUGAUCCGCCACAUUGGGACUGAGACACGGCCCAAACUCCUACGGGAGGCAGCAGUGGGGAAUAUUGGACAAUGGGCGCAAGCCUGAUCCAGCCAUGCCGCGUGAGUGAUGAAGUCCUUAGGGUUGUAAAGCUCUUUCACCGAUGAAGAUAAUGACGGUAGUCGGAGAAGAAGCCCCGGCUAACUUCGUGCCAGCCGCCGCCGUAAAAC